rnacentral:lncRNA from 1 species
CCGGUUGCUUAAUUGGUGGUGGCAGCUUAUUUGAUUAUACCUGUGCCUGAGCUUCUUCCUACACCCCUUUCUCCUCCUUCCCUUCCUCCCGAGUACCUGCUUCUCUCUUAUUGGCUCUUCCCUCCCUCGCUCCGCAGCUUGCCCUUUCACACGAGAACAAGAGAUGGAUUAGCUUUCUGUAUCACUAUUUAAAGAAAGAGGAGAUGAAACGAGAGCAUCAAGACGCCGUCGACGGCGGAGGCAGUUGGUAACCCGAGGCAGCGGAGAUGGAGCACGAGAAGGGGAAGGACACGAUGGGGGCUGAGGAGGACGGCGGCGUCGAUGAGCUUCUGG